GAUGAACGCUGACAGAAUGCUUAACACAUGCAAGUCUUUGGCGAAGCUGUGCUUGCACAGCCUAGCCAAGGCGGACGGGUGAGUAACGCGUAAGGAACUUGCCCUGCAGUCAGGGAUAACAGACGGAAACGACUGAUAAGACCUGGUAAAGUCAGGCGGACUCAUGUCCAGCCUGAUGAAAAGAGAUGCUGCAGGAGAGCCUUGCGUCCUAUUAGCUUGUUGGUGGGGUAACGGCCCACCAAGGCGAUGAUAGGUAGCCGGCCUGAGAGGGUGGACGGCCACAAGGGGACUGAGAUACGGCCCUUACUACUACGGGAGGCAGCAGUGGGGAAUAUUGGACAAUGGGGGCAACCCUGAUCCAGCAAUUCUGUGUGCACGAUGAAGGUUUUCGGAUUGAAAAGUGCUUUCAGCAGGGAAGAAAAAAAUGACGGUACCUGCAGAAGAAGCGACGGCUAAAUACGUG
rnacentral:rRNA from 1 species